ensembl:misc_RNA 7SK 7SK RNA
GGAUGUGAAGGUGAUCUGGCUGUGACAUUUGUCACCCCAUUGAUAGCCAGGGUUGAUUCGGCUGAUCUGGCUGGCUAGGCGGGUGUCCCCAUCCUCCCUCACCCCUCCAUGUAUGUCCCUCCGGAAGCUGCACACAAGAAGAGAAUGGCCUUACCCAAUAGACUAGGUUGAGGGUAAAAAAAGUAGCUGUGUUCCCCUUCUAGAACCUCCAAGCAAGCUCUCAAGAAAAUUGGUCAAAGAGAACGAGGGAGAAAGAGCUGUGAUUUUCCAUGAAUAUUAUCAUGUCAUCUGCAAACUAU